rnacentral:lncRNA from 1 species
UGAAGCAGUAUCUCAUCAUGGCUUGGAUUUGUACUUUCCUAAUGAGAAGGAAAUGGCAACCCACUCCAGUAUUCUUGCCUGGAGAAUCCAUGGACGGAGGAGCCUGGUGGGCUACAGUCCAUGGGGUCGCCAAGAGUCGGACACGACUGAGUGACUUCACUUUCGCUUUCUUAAUGAUUAUACAGUGGAAGUGAGAAAUAGAUUUAAGGGACUAGAUCUGAUAGAUAGAGUGCCUAUGAUGAACUAUGGAAGGAGGUUCAUGACAUUGUACAGGAGACAGGGAUCAAGACCACCCCCAUGGAAAAGAAAUGCAAAAAAGCAAAAUGGCUGUCUGUGGAGCCCUUACAAAUAACUGUGAAAAGAAGAGACACAAAAAGCAAAGGAGAAAAGGAAAGAGAUAAGCAUCUGAAUGCAGAGUUCCAAAGAAUAGCAAGGAGAGAUAAGAAAGCCUUCCUCAGUGAUCAGUGCAAAGAAAUAGAGGAAAUCAACAGAAUGGGAAAGACUAGAGAUCGCUUCAAGAAAAUUAGAGAUACCAAGGGAACAUUUCAUGCAAAGAUGGGCUCAAUAAAGGACAGAAAUGGUAUGGACCUAACAGGAGCAGAAGAUAUUAAGAGGUGGCAAGAAUACACAGAAGAAUUCUACAAAAAAGAUCUUCAUGACCAAGAUAAUCAUGAUGGUGUGAUCACUCACCUAGAGCCAGACAUCCUGGAAUGUGAAGUCAAGUGGACUUUAGAAAGCAUCACUAUGAACAAAGCUAGUGGAGGUGAUAGAAUUCCACUUGAGCUAUUCCAAAUCCUGAAAGAUGAUGCUGUGAAAGUGCUGCACUCAAUAUGCCAGCAAAUUUGGAAAACUCAGCAGUGGCCACAGGACUGGAAAAGCUCAAUUUUCAUUCCAAUGCCUAAGAAAGGCAAUGCCAAAGAAUGUUCAAACUACCGCACAAUUGCACUCAUCUCACAUGCUAGUAAAGUAAUGCUCAAAAUUCUCCAAGCCAGGCUUCAGCAAUACAUGAACCGUGACCUUCCAGAUGUUCAAGCUGGUUUUAGAAAAGGCAGAGGAACCAGAGAUCAAAUUGCCAACAUCUGCUGGAUCAUCGAAAAAGCAAGAGAGUUCCAGAAG